rnacentral:lncRNA from 12 species
GGAGGAAAUGGCGAAAAAAUGGGGAGAAAAUGGGGGAAAAAUGGAAAAAAAAGAAGAGGAAAUGGGGAAAAAUGAGAAAAAAUGGGGAGGAAAUGGGAAAAAAUGGGGAAAAAAUGGGAGAAAAUGAGAAAAAACGGGGAGGAAAUGGGAAAAAAUGGGGAGAAAAUGGGAAAAAAUGGGGAGGAAAUGGGAAAAAAUGGGGAGAAAAUGGGAAAAAAUGGGGAAAAAAAGGGAAAAAAACGGGGAGAAAAUGGGAAAAAAUGGGGAGAAAAUGAGGAAAAAUGGGAAGAAAAUGGGAAAAAAUUGGGAGAAAAUGGGAAAAAAUGGGGAGGAAAUGGGAAAAAAAUGGGGAGAAAAUGGGAGAAAAUGGGAAGAAACACACAAAAAAAAGAGGGAAAACUGAGAGAAAAUGGAAAGAAAUGAGGAAAAAAUGGGAAUGAGGAGAAAUGGAGAAAAUGGGAAAAAAUGGGAAAAACACAAAAAAAAAAAAAGGAAAUUUUUAAAAUGGGGAAAAAAUUAAAAACUGAAAAAAGUGGGAGAAAAGGAGGACGGAAAACCCGAAUAAAAAGCAGGAGAAAAUGCAGAAAAAUGAUAAAAAUGGAAAUAAGUGGAAGAAAAUAAGAGAAAAUGAGAAAAAACGGGAAGAAAGAUGAAAAUUGGAGGAGAAUUGGGAAAAAAUUGGGGAUAAAACGGGAAAAAUGGAAAAAAAGCAGGAGAAAAUGGCGAAAGAAAAAUGAUAAAAAUGGAAAUAAGUGGAAGAAAAUAAGAGGAAAUGAGAAAAAACGGGAAGAAGGAUGAAAAUUGGGAAAAAAUCGGGGAUAAAACGGGAAAAAUGGAAAAAAAGCAGGAGAAAAUGGCGAAAAAUGGGAAGAAUCGAAAUAAUGGAAAUAAGUGGAAGAAAAUAAGAGGAAAUGAGAAAAAACGGGAAGAAGGAUGAAAAUUGGGAAAAAAUCGGGGAUAAAACGGGAAAAAUGGAAAAAAAGCAGGAGAAAAUGGCGAAAAAUGGGAAGAAUCAAAAUAAAGAUGAGGAAAUGGGAGAAAUGAGAAAAAAACGGGAAGAAUGAUGAAAAAAUGGGGGGAAAUGGAGAAAAAAGCAGAAGAAAAUGAGGAAAAAUAAGAAAAAACUGGGGAAAAAGAGAAAAAUGGGGAUUUGGAGUCGGGAUUUGGCUCCAAUCCGGAUCCCAGCCC